rnacentral:rRNA from 1 species
CCUACGGGGGCUGCAGUGGGGAAUAUUGGACAAUGGGCGCAAGCCUGAUCCAGCCAUGCCGCGUGAGUGACGAAGGCCUUAGGGUUGUAAAGCUCUUUUGGCGGGGACGAUAAUGACGGUACCCGCAGAAUAAGCCCCGGCUAACUUCGUGCCAGCAGCCGCGGUAAUACGAAGGGGGCUAGCGUUGUUCGGAAUUACUGGGCGUAAAGCGCACGUAGGCGGAUUUGUAAGUCAGGGGUGAAAUCCCGGGGCUCAACCUCGGAACUGCCUUUGAUACUGCAAGUCUCGAGUCCGAUAGAGGUGAGUGGAAUUCCUAGUGUAGAGGUGAAAUUCGUAGAUAUUAGGAAGAACACCAGUGGCGAAGGCGGCUCACUGGAUCGGUACUGACGCUGAGGUGCGAAAGCGUGGGGAGCAAACA